rnacentral:lncRNA from 10 species
GCAGUUGUAACCUCUUCAAAAAUCUUACUAUGUCAUGUUGGUGAGAAGAUUGAACAAGAAAUCCCAAGCAAGAAGAGGACAAUUCAGAACACACAGCCCUCCACCACAGAAACCUAUAGACUCAAACAUUUCCUCAAGACACCAAGAAGUUUAAGUUAAGUAUUCUUCUGAUGGAAAAGUUUUUAAAAACUGAAUAUAAUAUAUAUGUAAUGUUGACAUUUUUAUACCAAAGGCUAUAGCUUAACCUUUUAUAUUAUUGAACCACCUAAAAUACGUUAACUUUUCACAUGGCAUGACUAUUUUUAUUUCUCUAACCAUGAAUUAGCAACCUCAAAAGGCUUUGCCUUAUUCAUUAUUCAACAUUAAGUAGCCACUUCUCACUUUGAUGUAGGUUAUUAAUUUAUAGACUGCCUUUAGCUUAAGUCAACUGAUGACAAAGCACAGUUCCAGAAGUAGAUUUUGAAAAUAAGCAGCUUACAGCAGGAGAAUAUUUGUCAGCUUUAAUGUUUACUCAAUAAUUCAGUAAAAGGAAACAACAAAAAGGAAGUUACUGUUAUGUAGAAAAAUAUCUUCUUUACAGUUCUAUUCAAUGAUUAAGCUUUCAUUAAGAAGUAUAAUUUCUGCAACUUAGCUGACAAUGAUGAAGACUUUGGUGUGCUGGCUAUUACAGAAGGCAGAUCCAAAAUUUGUUUAGAAAUCACAUAGCAACAGUUUUCCUGUUACAAACUCAGAGAACAUCCACUCAAGGUACGAAUGCAUAAAACCAAGAGACCAGAUCUGUGUUAUCCCUCCAAAUUAGCACUUAUAAAAUGGGUUUCAAGGAUUUCCACUCUGUUAUUAAUUAACUGAACACUAAGACCAAAAAAUUUACAAUGUAUGUUAGCAAUCAUCUUGUCCAGUCAUAAUUUUACAGAUAGAUGGUAUGGCUGCUGUCACUUACAUUGAAAAAUACUGACUUACACAGGCGUUUAAAAAAUAUGCCACAUAGUUCUCACUUCAGGAACCAGCUUGAGUAUUUCCUUGUAUGAAAAUACUCUGAAACCCAAAUCUUCCUGUUACAACAUGAGAGUAAUUUUGGCAGUCCUCCUUACUUCAUGAUAUUUUGAUAUUGUCUUGGUUAGGUGAGCAAUAUUGGGAGGAGUUCAGAAAGUCGGGAGUGGAGUUGAGUGAGAAGAAACAAGAGCAACAAUGCCUAUACAAACGGGCAGAUCUUGGUCUGAAGUUUACAUAUACUCACUGAAUUUGGUUUUCCUUAGUGAUCUUUCUUGGUGAACAGAUCUUGUCUUCACAGUUUAUGCAACCUAAGAGAUUCUGUUUAUUAGCUGCCUCCUAACAGCAAGCAAAAUAGCCCAGGAAGAGCUUCUGAAAAAAAAAAGACCGAGGCGGGUUCUGCCUAAGUGUCUUUCCCUAUGCACUGCUCUACAUCUCUGCGGUGGACACAUCACAUAGAGCCCUGAGAAAUCACAUGGGGAAGAGAGCAAAAUGUCAGCACAAGAAAGCUGCUCAGUAACUAAAGACCAACUGUGUCCCUCAUACAGUUCUUUCUAGACAAAGAGCUCACUGGGCCUUGACCCUCCCCAAAUGUGCCUAAAUGGUCAUUUUUAGGCUCUUGCUUAUAUUUCAGUGAAAUGGUCUAUACUGGGGGCCAAAUACAGCUCCAUCUCCCCAUUUUGCUCAUCCGUCCUCUUCCAGGUGGCAUGUUCACAAACAGACUCCUCCUCCCAGAGGAAUUGCUGUCCUUUUCCCCUCUUUUCCUUACCACCUCCACUCAACAGCAGAACAGUAAGGGACAGUACCUUGGCACCCUGCUUGUGAUAGGUGAACAUCUCCUGGUGAGUGCUACUCAGGGACCAAAGCUCUGCCUGCCAGGAAAAGUGUGAAGAUGAGCACCCUUGGUCUUGUUGGGUGGAGCAGAAAGGAGGACUAUAGGAACCCCUUUACGUGUAGUGUGCAGCAUCUAACUGGGAGAUUGAGAGAAAAGGGGGAAUUGAUUCUAGUUGUUUUCAGAUGACUUUUUUCUAUUCCUUCUUUCUUUCUCCAGAGAUUCACAGUUUAUUUCUGGUCAUCUGCUCCACCUGGGACAGGUUUAUAACUCCCCUUGAAGAUAACACCAAGAACAGGGGGUGGACAGUCUUGAAAUUGGUGUUGUGCCUGCUUCUCUUGUUCGUCUAUCACAGGAAGACAAAUCUUGUGGUCUGUCCUGCUUGCCUUGGUGACAUACUUUCAAAACUUACAAGUACUUUAUUAGUAAGAAUAAACAACAUAAAUAAAAGUCCCUUACUGGGGG